AUUGAACGCUGGCGGCAUGCCUAACACAUGCAAGUCGAACGAGUGGCGGACGGGUGAGUAAUGUCUGGGAAACUGCCUGAUGGAGGGGGAUAACUACUGGAAACGGUAGCUAAUACCGCAUACCAUCGGAUGUGCCCAGAUGGGCUUAGCUAGUGGGUGGGGUAACGGCUCACCUAGGCGACGAUCCCUAGCCGGUCGGAGAGGAUGACCGGCAAAACUGGAACUGAGACACGGUCCAGACUCCUACGGGAGGCAGCAGUGGGGAAUAUUGCACAAUGGGCGCAAGCCUGAUGCAGACAUGCCGCGUGUAUGAAGAAGGCUUUCGGGUGGUAAAGUACUUUCAGCGGGGAGGCAUUACCCGCAGAAGAAGCACCGGCUAACUCCGUGCCAGCAGCCGCGGUAAUAC
rnacentral:rRNA from 1 species